rnacentral:rRNA from 1 species
CCCUUAGAUGUUCUGGGCCGCACGCGCGCUACACUGACGAAUGCAACGAGCUUAUAACCUUGGCCGAAAGGUCUGGGUAAUCUCCAAAUUUCGUCGUGAUGGGGAUAGAUUAUUGCAAUUAUUAAUCUUCAACGAGGAAUGCCUAGUAAGCGCAAGUCAUCAGCUUGCGUUGAUUACGUCCCUGCCCUUUGUACACACCGCCCGUCGCUCCUACCGAUUGAAUGGUCCGGUGAAGCGCUCGGACCGCGGCCUCUUGACGGUUCGCUGUCGAUUGGCUGUGGGAAGUUCGUUAAACCUUAUCAUUUAGAGGAAGGAGAAGUCGCAACA